rnacentral:tRNA from 1 species
GGGGUUGUGGCUCAGUGGUAGAGUGCUCGCCUCAUACAUGUGAAACCCUGGGUUCGAUCCUCAGCACCACA